rnacentral:RNase_P_RNA from 1 species
AGCAGGCUGGACAGCUGCGGGGAUCGUAAGAUCCGUGAGGAAAGUCCGAGCUUCACAGAGCAGGAUAACGGCUAACGGCCGCCGAGGGUGACCUUAGGGAAAGUGCAACAGAGAUAUACCGCCCGGUUUUCCGGGUAAGGGUGGAAAGGCGAGGUAAGAGCUCACCGGCGUGCAGGAGACUGCAUUGCCCUGCAAACCCUAUCCGAAGCAACACCGACCGGGGAGGGGCGGUAAGCCCCGCGCUUGCUCGGCGCAAUUCUCCCCAACGGGUGGCUAAAGCGUAUCGGCAACGGUGCGCGUAGAUAGAUAGCUGUCUUAAAUGACAAAACUCGGCUUACAGGCCUGCUCGC